rnacentral:rRNA from 1 species
GGAGGAAAAGAAACUAACAAGGAUUCCCCUAGUAACGGCGAGUGAAGCGGGAAGAGCUCAAAUUUGAAAUCUGGUGGCCUCAGGUCAUCCGAGUUGUAAUCUAUAGAAGUGUUUUCCGUGCUGGCUCAUGUACAAGUCCCUUGGAACAGGGCGUCAUAGAGGGUGAGAAUCCCGUCCUUGACAUGAACUACCAGUGCUCUGUGAUACAUUUUCAACGAGUCGAGUUGUUUGGGAAUGCAGCUCAAAAUGGGUGGUAAAUUCCAUCUAAAGCUAAAUAUUGGCGAGAGACCGAUAGCGAACAAGUACCGUGAGGGAAAGAUGAAAAGCACUUUGGAAAGAGAGUUAAACAGUAUGUGAAAUUGUUAAAAGGGAAACGAUUGAAGUCAGUCGUGCUCUUUGGAUUCAGCCGGUUCUGCCGGUGUACUUCCUUUGAGUGGGGUCAACAUCAGUUUUGAUCGCUGGAUAAAGGCUGGAGGAACGUAGCACCCUCGGGUGAACUUAUAGCCUCCUGUCACAUACAGUGGUUGGGACUGAGGAACGCAGCACGCCUUUAUGGCCGGGAUUCGUCCACGUACGUGCUUAGG